CAGGCCUAACACAUGCAAGUCGAACGGCAGCACGGACUUCGGUCUGGUGGCGAGUGGCGAACGGGUGAGUAAUACAUCGGAACGUGCCCAGUCGUGGGGGAUAACGUAGCGAAAGCUACGCUAAUACCGCAUACGAUCUAAGGAUGAAAGCGGGGGAUCGCAAGACCUCGCGCGAUUGGAGCGGCCGAUGGCAGAUUAGGUAGUUGGUGGGGUAAAGGCCUACCAAGCCGACGAUCUGUAGCUGGUCUGAGAGGAUGAUCAGCCACACUGGGACUGAGACACGGCCCAGACUCCUACGGGAGGCAGCAGUGGGGAAUUUUGGACAAUGGACGCAAGUCUGAUCCAGCCAUUCCGCGUGCAGGAUGAAGGCCCUCGGGUUGUAAACUGCUUUUGUACAGAACGAAAAGGCUCUGGUUAAUACCUGGGGCUCAUGACGGUACUGUAAGA
rnacentral:rRNA from 1 species